UACACUCCUACGGGAGGCAGCAGUGGGGAAUUUUGGACAAUGGGCGAAAGCCUGAUCCAGCAAUGCCGCGUGAGUGAAGACGGCCUUCGGGUUGUAAAGCUCUUUUGUCAGGGAAGAAACGGUGAAAGCUAAUAUCUUUUGCUAAUGACGGUACCUGAAGAAUAAGCACCGGCUAACUACGUGCCAGCAGCCGCGGUAAUACGUAGGGUGCAAGCGUUAAUCGGAAUUACUGGGCGUAAAGCGUGCGCAGGCGGUUUUGUAAGUCUGAUGUGAAAUCCCCGGGCUCAACCUGGGAAUUGCAUUGGAGACUGCAAGGCUAGAAUCUGGCAGAGGGGGGUAGAAUUCCACGUGUAGCAGUGAAAUGCGUAGAUAUGUGGAGGAACACCGAUGGCGAAGGCAGCCCCCUGGGUCAAGAUUGACGCUCAUGCACGAAAGCGUGGGGAGCAAACAGGAUUAGAAACCCCAGUAGUCCC
rnacentral:rRNA from 1 species